CCAAAGGCUCUUUUAAGAGCCUUCCACAUUGCUAUAAGAGUAUUC
rfam:Salmo salar isolate Sally breed double haploid chromosome ssa12, whole genome shotgun sequence.